rnacentral:rRNA from 1 species
CGAAUGCUGACAUAAGUAACGAUAAAGCGGGUGAAAAGCCCGCUCGCCGGAAGACCAAGGGUUCCUGUCCAACGUUAAUCGGGGCAGGGUGAGUCGACCCCUAAGGCGAGGCCGAAAGGCGUAGUCGAUGGGAAACAGGUUAAUAUUCCUGUACUUGGUGUUACUGCGAAGGGGGGACGGAGAAGGCUAUGUUGGCCGGGCGACGGUUGUCCCGGUUUAAGCGUGUAGGCUGGUUUUCCAGGCAAAUCCGGAAAAUCAAGGCUGAGGCGUGAUGACGAGGCACUACGGUGCUGAAGCAACAAAUGCCCUGCUUCCAGGAAAAGCCUCUAAGCAUCAGGUAACAUCAAAUCGUACCCCAAACCGACACAGGUGGUCAGGUAGAGAAUACCAAGGCGCUUGAGAGAACUCGGGUGAAGGAACUAGGCAAAAUGGUGCCGUAACUUCGGGAGAAGGCACGCUGAUAUGUAGGUGAAGUCCCUCGCGGAUGGAGCUGAAAUCAGUCGAAGAUACCAGCUGGCUGCAACUGUUUAUUAAAAACACAGCACUGUGCAAACACGAAAGUGGACGUAUACGGUGUGACGCCUGCCCGGUGCCGGAAGGUUAAUUGAUGGGGUUAGCGGUAACGCGAAGCUCUUGAUCGAAGCCCCGGUAAACGGCGGCCGUAACUAUAACGGUCCUAAGGUAGCGAAAUUCCUUGUCGGGUAAGUUCCGACCUGCACGAAUGGCGUAAUGAUGGCCAGGCUGUCUCCACCCGAGACUCAGUGAAAUUGAACUCGCUGUGAAGAUGCAGUGUACCCGCGGCAAGACGGAAAGACCCCGUGAACCUUUACUAUAGCUUGACACUGAACAUUGAGCCUUGAUGUGUAGGAUAGGUGGGAGGCUUUGAAGUGUGGACGCCAGUCUGCAUGGAGCCGGCCUUGAAAUACCACCCUUUAAUGUUUGAUGUUCUAACGUUGGCCCGUAAUCCGGGUUGCGGACAGUGUCUGGUGGGUAGUUUGACUGGGGCGGUCUCCUCCUAAAGAGUAACGGAGGAGCACGAAGGUUGGCUAAUCCUGGUCGGACAUCAGGAGGUUAGUGCAAUGGCAUAAGCCAGCUUGACUGCGAGCGUGACGGCGCGAGCAGGUGCGAAAGCAGGUCAUAGUGAUCCGGUGGUUCUGAAUGGAAGGGCCAUCGCUCAACGGAUAAAAGGUACUCCGGGGAUAACAGGCUGAUACCGCCCAAGAGUUCAUAUCGACGGCGGUGUUUGGCACCUCGAUGUCGGCUCAUCACAUCCUGGGGCUGAAGUAGGUCCCAAGGGUAUGGCUGUUCGCCAUUUAAAGUGGUACGCGAGCUGGGUUUAGAACGUCGUGAGACAGUUCGGUCCCUAUCUGCCGUGGGCGCUGGAGAACUGAGGGGGGCUGCUCCUAGUACGAGAGGACCGGAGUGGACGCAUCACUGGUGUUCGGGUUGUCAUGCCAAUGGCACUGCCCGGUAGCUAAAUGCGGAAGAGAUAAGUGCUGAAAGCAUCUAAGCACGAAACUUGCCCCGAGAUGAGUUCUCCCUGACUCCUUGAGAGUCCUGAAGGAACGUUGAAGACGACGACGUUGAUAGGCCGGGUGUGUAAGCGCAGCGAUGCGUUGAGCUAACCGGUACUAAUGAACCGU